UGAUGGCGUGCCUUUUGUAGAAUGAACCGGCGAGUUACGAUUUGAUGCAAGGUUAAGCAGUAAAUGUGGAGCCGUAGCGAAAGCGAGUCUGAAUAGGGCGUUUAGUAUUUGGUCGUAGACCCGAAACCAGGUGAUCUACCCUUGGUCAGGUUGAAGUUCAGGUAACACUGAAUGGAGGACCGAACCGACUUACGUUGAAAAGUGAGCGGAUGAACUGAGGGUAGCGGAGAAAUUCCAAUCGAACCUGGAGAUAGCUGGUUCUCUCCGAAAUAGCUUUAGGGCUAGCCUCAAGUGAUGAUUAUUGGAGGUAGAGCACUGUUUGGACGAGGGGCCCCUCUCGGGUUACCGAAUUCAGACAAACUCCGAAUGCCAAUUAAUUUAACUUGGGAGUCAGAACAUGGGUGAUAAGGUCCGUGUUCGAAAGGGAAACAGCCCAGACCACCAGCUAAGGUCCCAAAAUAUAUGUUAAGUGGAAAAGGAUGUGGCGUUGCCCAGACAACUAGGAUGUUGGCUUAGAAGCAGCCAUCAUUUAAAGAGUGCGUAAUAGCUCACUAGUCGAGUGACACUGCGCCGAAAAUGUACCGGGGCUAAACAUAUUACCGAAGCUGUGGAUUGUCCUUUGGACAAUG
rnacentral:rRNA from 1 species